GCAGCAUGAAAGUUUCGACAAUAUUUUCAGUCACAUCCUAUUGUAGUACUCACCAAUCAGCCUCUAAAACACAUUCUUCAGAAACCAGAUGUCUCAAGAAGAUUACUGAAGUGGACAAUUGAACUCGAAGAAUUUGACAUAGAGUUCAAGCCCCGUCCAUCUAUUAAAGCUCAAGCCUUAGCUGACUUCAUUACAGAACUCAUCCCAAGGCCUUGGGGGCCAGAUAGUAGCUCGAGCUCUUCCACAGGUGUGUGGUAAAUUUUUGUAGAUGGUGCAUCAAACUUCUCGGGCUCGGGUGCAGGGGUUAUAAUCAUAAGCCCGG
rnacentral:lncRNA from 1 species